rnacentral:rRNA from 1 species
AUUGAACGCUGGCGGCAGGCUUAACACAUGCAAGUCGAGCGGAGCGAGGGUGCUUGCACCUUAGCUUAGCGGCGGACGGGUGAGUAAUGCUUAGGAAUCUGCCUAUUAGUGGGGGACAACAUUCCGAAAGGGAUGUUAAUACCGCAUACGCCCUACGGGGGAAAGCAGGGGAUCUUCGGACCUUGCGCUAAUAGAUGAGCCUAAGUCGGAUUAGCUAGUUGGUGGGGUAAAGGCCUACCAAGGCGACGAUCUGUAGCGGGUCUGAGAGGAUGAUCCGCCACACUGGGACUGAGACACGGCCCAGACUCCUACGGGAGGCAGCAGUGGGGAAUAUUGGACAAUGGGGGGAACCCUGAUCCAGCCAUGCCGCGUGUGUGAAGAAGGCCUUUUGGUUGUAAAGCACUUUAAGCGAGGAGGAGGCGCUCUAGGAUAAUACCCUAGAUGCGUGGACGUACUCGCAGAAUAA